rnacentral:lncRNA from 1 species
AAACUAUCAAUCUUGCUCCAAUUUACUCAGAAAUAUAUCAUUGGAUUAUACUUUCAGAUAAGACAAGCUUCAUAUGAAUUGAACUGUCCAACAGAGAGAGUUACAAAUAGUUUGGUAAACAAGGGUCGCAAAACAAAAUCUCUGUUUGGCAAAAUUCAUAAGGUCAGAUUCAACAGAUAACUGGGUAGGUGUUUGGACUCCAAAUCUUUCAAUCCAUAUAUCAAAAGAAAGAUCUACAAGUCUAGUUUCCAAUGAAAUUAGUUUUGAAUAAAUCGGAGUUUCCAACAAAGACUUACAAGCAGCUCGGUAUCAAAAGGUCAGAAUCUCGAAAGUUGCACAGAUUCGAAUCGUUAC